UACGGAGGGAGCUAGCGUUGUUCGGAAUUACUGGGCGUAAAGCGCACGUAGGCGGCUUUGCAAGUUAGAGGUGAAAGCCUGGGGCUCAACUCCAGAACUGCCUUUAAAACUGCAUCGCUUGAAUCCAGGAUAGGUGAGUGGAAUUCCGAGUGUAGAGGUGAAAUUCGUAGAUAUUCGGAAGAACACCAGUGGCGAAGGCGGCUCACUGGACUGGUAUUGACGCUGAGGUGCGAAAGCGUGGGGAGCAAACAGG
rnacentral:rRNA from 1 species